CUUUGCAUGAACAAGACUAAACAAAAGGAGAGAAAAAAAAUGGAUACAAUACAGCACCCACAUCCACCCCUGUUCAACUUUAUCUAUGGCACAUAAUUUCCUUCUGGGGAUUUAAAUAAUGUAGGAUACAACUGAUGACUAAGCCGGGAGCCCAAAACUUCUACAGCAAGCAAAACUUGUUGGAAAAUAAUAUGACUUCACAAAUACCUGCAAGGAAGGCAUCAGGAGAACUGAACCACAAAAAUUGUUCUACGGAAACAGAGGCAGGCAACCGAGUCCCAAGUUCUCUGGAAUUCCCAUCAUUAAGUUAAGAUUUUGUAAGGCUUGUCCAGAAGCUCCCUUAACAAGAUUAUCAAUAACAGAUAUUAUUAUUGCUCUCCCAGGAAUCCGGUCUGGAAAUACAUUCAUGAGGCAAUAAUUUGAUCCUCUAACAUGUCGAGUAUGGGGAACUUCUUUGUUCUUCAGCAACACCACAAAUUCUUCAUGCUCAUAGUAGUUACCAAGGUGAUCUUUCAAAUCCUGAGUUGUCAUGCCUGGAGCCAUUUCCACAUAAAUAGUCGAUUGCAUACCACGGCUCAUUGGCAUAAGAUGUGGAGUGAAGCUAACAGUAACUUUUGAAUUUGCAGCUUCUGAUAAUCCUUGUUCAAUCUCUGGCACAUGCCGAUGUCUGGUUAUACCAUAAGAAUGUAUUCCUUCGGCUAUUUCAGUGUACAAAUUUGCUUCUUUUGCACCACGACCUGCUCCACUAACACCAGAUUUUGAGUCAAUAAUUAUGUUUCUUACUUCAAUGAAGUUGGACUUUAUCAAGGGAAUAAGAGGAAGUUGAACAGAUGUAGGAUAACAGCCAGGAUUUGCAACUAGACGUGCACUUUGAAUUUCUCUCCUUGAAAUCUCAGUCAAGCCAUAGACUGCUUCUUUCUGCAAAGCUGUUGCUUUGUGAGGCUGGCCAUACCAUUCCUCAUACUCAGCUAUAUCUUGCAAUCUGAAGUCCGCAGAUAGAUCAACAACUUUUAGAUUUGUUGGAAGACUUUUGAUAAUUUCCUGAGUUGUACCAUGUGGUAAACAACAAAAAACAGCAUCCACAGCAGAGAAAUCUGCAUCUUUAACAGCGACUAGAUUUGGUAGAUCUUGUGUGACCAGGUGAGGGAAAACAGAUUCGAUUGAUUGGCCAGCUUUCCUGUCAGCCGUCAUCAAAGUAAUCUGAAAAUAUGGAUGAUUUCGCAGGAGUCUAAUAAUCUCUGAACCAGUGUAGCCACUAGCACCUAGCACACCAAUACGCAAUUUGUCCAAUUUGUUAGCUUUACCAUCUGCAAACUGCAAGCUUUGCGCUGGUGAUGAUGACGCCAUGGAAGUAACUCUAAUUCUGAGCUUACCAGCCUUAGAAACCUUCAGUUCGUCUUGAUACUUCCAAAGGCAACCUCCAUUGAAGAGGUUAGAAUUGAGCGCAGCCAAAGAAGCCAUUGGAGAUGCAGAGUUUGAAGUAUGAAUUUUGCGAAAUGAGAAAGAGAAGAGUAAAGGGUAUUUCAGUUUCAAUGUGAAGAACAGAGCAGAAUGAUCCGAUGGAAUAUAUGG
rnacentral:misc_RNA from 1 species